GAAACAAAGGCUUAUUGAUGUUUCCUUUUUCUCAUUAUCGCUUCUUUUCUUUUACGUUUUUUUUUUUUCCGAAAGGGGUGC
rnacentral:ribozyme from 14 species